rnacentral:lncRNA from 1 species
GUCUCCUGGUACAGGGUUGCACUAGUGUUUUUCUAAAGUUUGUACUUAGAGCGACCGGCUGGCAGGACAGUACAUGCAGCACGCUGGGGAUCUAGUGGAAUAUGGUUGGUCUGCAGUACUAGCAGGCAUGUUUGUUGCAGUAUGGGGAGACAUCAGCUGCUGUGUCACAGGUGCCUGCCUCCAUCUUGACCCCAGCUACUGAAGUUGUGUUAAAUCCAGCUCACAAUGGAUUUGUUCCUCACAGCUAUUCAUCAUUUGAAAAUCCAGGAGUGUGUUUUGAGUUUCAGAAUUUUGUCCUUUUUUAUUUAUUUAUUUGGUACUGGGGAUCGAACUCGGGUCCUUGCGCUUGCGAGGCAGGCCACCGAACCGCUGAGCUAAAUCCCUGGCCCUGCCCUUUUUUAAAUGUAGGAAGAUUCUGUUAUGAAGAAGCACAUACAAAGCUAUGUGAAGGUGUGAUGAUGCCGAGACAGCUCAUAGUUGGAGUAGUUCCGAGUGUGGAUAGGAAUCCACUUCUCCUGCUCCUAGCCUGUCCAUUGUGCAGAUCUGACUUCAGGUUUCUUAGCUGAGUGUUCAUCUUUUCCCCUAGAUACCUCAAAAAAUACUUUGCUGGAUACCAGAUGGUGGUCUGUGGUGCUUCUUUUCAUUGUUAGAAGCUUAGCACUAACCUGCAGACUCUCAGAAGCUGCUGAGUGACUGAAGUGAUGCUUGGGGUGAGCUGAAGCAGAGAAGGGCCUGGAGGUGCUGAGGCCACCAAGGAGGGCGGGGCAGGUCAGGGUGGUGCAGGAAUUGGGCUUGUUGCCAACCAGCACGGUGGGGUUGGAGCAGACGGACCCUGCAGGGGCAACCUCGUGGUUUUGUCACUUCUUGCUCUACUACUGCUGUCCCACUAGACUGCAGUGUUGAUCAUCUUAUGUGACCUUCAGUUUACAGAGGCACUGACUUCAUUUCCAAGUUCUUGCUUUGAGAUUUUU